rnacentral:rRNA from 1 species
AGGACGAACGCUGGCGGCGCGCUUAACACAUGCAAGUCGAGCGAGAACCGGGACUUCGGUCCCGGGGACAGCGGCGAACGGGUGAGUAACACGUGGGUAAUCUGCCCUCGAUUCUGGGAUAGCCCGGGGAAACUCGGAUUAAUACCGGAUAGCCUUUCAAGCCUUCGGGCGUGAAAGAAAAGGUAGCUUCGGCCUCCGAUCGAGGAUGAGCCCGCGGUGGAUUAGCUUGUUGGCGGGGUAAUGGCCCACCAAGGCGACGAUCCAUAGCUGGUCUGAGAGGACGAUCAGCCACACUGGGACUGAGACACGGCCCAGACUCCUACGGGAGGCAGCAGUGGGGAAUAUUGGACAAUGGGCGCAAGCCUGAUCCAGCCAUGCCGCGUGAGUGAUGAAGGCCCUAGGGUUGUAAAGCUCUUUCGACGGGGACGAUAAUGACGGUACCCGUAGAAGAAGCCCCGGCUAACUUCGUGCCAGCAGCCGC